GAUGAACGCUAGCGGCAGGCUUAACACAUGCAAGUCGAGGGGCAGCACGGGUAGCAAUACCUGGUGGCGACCGGCGCAAGGGUGCGUAACGCGUGAGCAACAUGCCCUAUACAGGGGGAUAAUCCAGGGAAACUUGGUCUAAUAUCCCAUAGUAUUUAGAGGAGGCAUCUUCUAUAAAUUAAAGCUUCGGUGGUAUAGGAUUGGCUCGCGUGACAUUAGCUAGAUGGUGAGGUAACGGCUCACCAUGGCAAUGAUGUCUAGGGGUUCUGAGAGGAAGGCUCCCCACACUGGGACUGAGACACGGCCCAGACUCCUACGGGAGGCAGCAGUGAGGAAUAUUGGACAAUGGAUGGAAAUCUGAUCCAGCCAUGCCGCGUGCAGGAAGACAGCCCUAUGGGUUGUAAACUGCUUUUAUAUGGGAGCAAUAAGGUCUACGUGUAGACUGAUAAGAGUACCAUAUGAAUAAGC
rnacentral:rRNA from 1 species